rnacentral:rRNA from 1 species
CAGCUCGCUGGGUGGAUUAGUGGCGAACGGGUGAGUAACACGUGAGUAACCUGCCCCUGACUCUGGGAUAAGCGUUGGAAACGACGUCUAAUACUGGAUAUGAUCACUGGCCGCAUGGUCUGGUGGUGGAAAGAUUUUUUGGUUGGGGAUGGACUCGCGGCCUAUCAGCUUGUUGGUGAGGUAAUGGCUCACCAAGGCGACGACGGGUAGCCGGCCUGAGAGGGUGACCGGCCACACUGGGACUGAGACACGGCCCAGACUCCUACGGGAGGCAGCAGUGGGGAAUAUUGCACAAUGGGCGAAAGCCUGAUGCAGCAACGCCGCGUGAGGGAUGACGGCCUUCGGGUUGUAAACCUCUUUUAGUAGGGAAGAAGCGAAAGUGACGGUACCUGCAGAAAAAGCACCGGCUAACUACGUGCCAGCAGCCGCGGUAAUACGUAGGGUGCAAGCGUUGUCCGGAAUUAUUGGGCGUAAAGAGCUCGUAGGCGGUUUGUCGCGUCUGCUGUGAAAUCCCGAGGCUCAACCUCGGGCUUGCAGUGGGUACGGGCAGACUAGAGUGCGGUAGGGGAGAUUGGAAUUCCUGGUGUAGCGGUGGAAUGCGCCAGAUAUCAGGAGGAACACCGAUGGCGAAGGCAGAUCUCUGGGGCCCGUAACUGACGCUGAGGAGCGAAAGCAUG